UUUGGAUGGAAGCAGAUGUGAC
rnacentral:siRNA from 1 species